rnacentral:rRNA from 1 species
AGAGUUUGAUCAUGGCUCAGGAUGAACGCUGGCGGCGUGCCUAAUACAUGCAAGUCGAACGCUUUGUCUUUAAUUGAUCUGACGAGCUUGCUCUGAUUUGAUUUUAUCUGACAAAGAGUGGCGAACGGGUGAGUAACACGUGGGUAACCUACCUCUUAGCAGGGGAUAACAUUUGGAAACAAGUGCUAAUACCGUAUAAUACCAACAACCGCAUGGUUGUUGGUUGAAAGAUGGUUCUGCUAUCACUAAGAGAUGGACCCGCGGUGCAUUAGCUAGUUGGUAAGGUAACGGCUUACCAAGGCAAUGAUGCAUAGCCGAGUUGAGAGACUGAUCGGCCACAAUGGGACUGAGACACGGCCCAUACUCCUACGGGAGGCAGCAGUAGGGAAUCUUCCACAAUGGGCGCAAGCCUGAUGGAGCAACGCCGCGUGUGUGAUGAAGGGUUUCGGCUCGUAAAACACUGUUAUAAGAGAAGAACGGCACUGAGAGUAACUGUUCAGUGUGUGACGGUAUCUUACCAGAAAGGAACGGCUAAAUACGUGCCAGCAGCCGCGGUAAUACGUAUGUUCCAAGCGUUAUCCGGAUUUAUUGGGCGUAAAGCGAGCGCAGACGGUUAUUUAAGUCUGAAGUGAAAGCCCUCAGCUCAACUGAGGAAUGGCUUUGGAAACUGGAUGACUUGAGUGCAGUAGAGGAAAGUGGAACUCCAUGUGUAGCGGUGAAAUGCGUAGAUAUAUGGAAGAACACCAGUGGCGAAGGCGGCUUUCUGGACUGUAACUGACGUUGA